rnacentral:rRNA from 1 species
CCUACGGGAGGCAGCAGUGAGGAAUAUUGGUCAAUGGGCGGAAGCCUGAACCAGCCAAGUCGCGUGAGGGAUUAAGGCCCUGCGGGUCGUAAACCUCUUUUGCCGGGGAGCAGAGGUCCGGACGUGUCCGUGCCGGGAGAGUACCCGGAGACAAAGCAUCGGCUAACUCCGUGCCAGCAGCCGCGGUAAUACGGAGGAUGCGAGCGUUAUCCGGAUUUGUUGGGUUUAAAGGGUGCGUAGGCGGGCAUUUAAGCCGGCGGUCAAAUGUCGGGGCUCAACCCCGGCCUGCCGUCGGAACUGGGGGCCUUGAGUGGGCGAGAAGUAGGCGGAAUGCGUGGUGUAGCGGUGAAAUGCAUAGAUAUCACGCAGAACCCCGAUUGCGAAGGCAGCAUACCGGCGCCCGACUGACGCUGAGGCACGAAAGUGCGGGUAUCGAACAGGAUUAGAUACCCCGGUAGUC